rnacentral:tRNA from 1 species
UGUAAAAUGGCUUAGUAAGCAUUAGACUAUAAAUCUAAAGACACAAGUCAAGACUUCUUUUUACCA